GUUCUAGCACUGAACCCCAUUCAUUUUCAGUGACUCUGAAGUUCGCUCGCUGUUCUGUCCAGCAGCAGGCUUGACUCGACUCCAGACCCGGUCUCCUCUGGGCUCUGACACAGGCUGUUUCCACCUGGAGUUAAGAUGCAUUUUGGUCGAUCAGAUCAUAAGUGGACGACGGAGACACAUACGCGUUUACAACUGGUGUUUUAAUCCAUCUGAUUUGUCCUCUUUCAACCACUUCUGUCCUGAUUUCUUUGAGGGGGUGGGUAAAUGUAUGGGUUUUUACAGAUCUUUCAAUCUAAUGGACAAAAUAAGCUUGAGCAGUUUACAUAUGAACGCACCCAGAGAUGACAGGAAAACAUAUUGAGAGCAUCAGUGUUCGCUUCUGCUCUGACAGCCGUGAGACCAGCCGAAUGCUGUGAGUGUGUGUUAGAAAUCAGGAAUGGUGAGAGAACAUUGUGCUUGGUACGUUUUUCAUCUUUGAACCAAACUUUGGUCUUCAGCCAACAAAGUUUAAAUCCUGUCUGGCUCGAGGGCUUCCCAUAAUGUUUACACAUUAGGUCAGUAGAUGGAGAGUAGAGUAAACAUGAGCGUUUACACUACGAAAGCAGUCCGGUCGAAUGCAUUUGCGUCUACUUCUGGAAGUGGUCGAAAGUGGACAAACUUAAACCGUUUUAGAUCUGUUUACACCUGUAUUUAAUGUUGUCCACUUGUGAUCCGAUCAGCCAAAACGCAUCUUAAUACCAGGUGGAAACAGGCCCACAGUCUGCUUCUGGCAGUGGAAUGCUCUCACCCAAAAAUUCAACAGGUCUCCAGAUCAUCCUACGGCUGCGCUGGAAGCAUGUAAUGGCUACUGUGAACACUUAUAUUCCUUCUCUGGCCUGCUUUCUGCCAUCUUUCUCUCCCUGUAGGAAGUCGAAUGAGUUUCUUUGAAGACAGAACAUUCAAGGAAAACUUACCUACCCUCUCCCUGGAUAUAAUAUAUAAUUAAAUGUUUUGUUGAAUGCAAUUGUUUGCCUUGUAUAUUUUUCACUGUUGACCAAACUUCUUUCUUGACUUAAACUGAGCA